rnacentral:lncRNA from 1 species
AUGAAGAAAGAAAUUAGGAUUUUUUUAAUCCUUUUUUAUGCUGUGAAAUUCUAUGAUCAGAGGCAGGUGGUGUUUACUGAUCAUGUUAUGUUUGGUUUGGUUAAAUUUAAAGCUUAUUAGGCCUAUAACCUUAAAAUAUUAUUCAGUUUUUUGAAAACAAGUUAGCCAUCUUUGUAGAUAUGAAGUGAUUUAUAAAAGGGCUAUUCAGUUGUUUGUCAUUCUCUGUUUGUAUCCGGAGUAUGCUAAAAAAGUGAAGUUUAAAAGUGCUUAAAAUUCAGCGACGGCCGGAGAAGACAGCGGACGCCGGCAGCGCCGCCACUCACGGCGGUGAUGUUUUAUUUUAUCACCGACGAAGUUAUACGGGCAGUCGGAGCCACGCCGGCAAACUACGGUCAGCGGUGGUGAUUGUGUUCAGAUUGUUUUGGUUAGGCUCGGGGUUUUGACUCGGGUCAGACUGUGUUCAGUUACGGUUCAAACCGGGUCAACUCAGCUUCUGUUCGGACCGACUCAGUCAACAUCGGGUCGACUCGGUCAACCGAUCAACGUCGGUCAACAGAUCAAAGAUGGUCAAACUCAGUCGCAAGACCCGGUAAAGAUUUAAUCGACGCGAAAUUUCUCAUUAUAUAGCUAUAGAUUUCAUAUUUAUACACAACCCGACGGCGGUGGUACAGUGGAGACAUCCGACGGCGGUGGUGACUGCCAGAGUUUCGUUCCGGUUAAGAUUUGAUUUUUGUUUGGGUUCGAGAUUUACCAUGGGUUAUAUUGGAAAUAUUGGAAAAUCUUGGAAAUAUUGGAAAUUUGUGCUCGUUUAUAUAUAAAUGGGUUAUAUUGUCACCUCUAG